UGGGUCGAAUCCUGCCAGUAGCAUUUUCUUGACUCAAAGAUCGAACCGUACACGUCAAUACACACAGCCAGUACAGAGACACUGCAAAAGGAUCAUUGAAUUUUUGAUUGUUCCUUUGAUGGAUCCAUCUGUCACUUGUAUAACUGUGAUAAAUCUACAGCGUAUACAUGCUGACAAGUGCUAUGCUCCUGGGAUGCGUACAUUUCUCUGACCAAGACCAAUUUGAGCAAGCACAAUUGCUUUAGGGAAUCUAGCUAAGGAUGACCAGAUAACAUGUCCCUAUGACAGCAAUGGUAUAUUCCGAUGUCUGUCCUAUCAACUUCUGAUGAUACUUCCUGUAUCUACCUUUGUGAUAACAGGUAAAAGGGAAUUAGGAGAAAUAGGUACCACAUCCAAGGAAGGCAGCAGACACAGUACCCUCUCAAGACUCGGGGAGGUAGUGACAGAAAAUAAUGAUAUUGGAUGCUUUUGAGGCCCUGUAAUGGGAAUGUGUACACUUCAAAUCCUUAAAUGAGGAUUAAUUCGAGGGAAAGUCUGGUUCCAGCAGCCAUUGUAAUUCCAGAUCCAAUAGCAUAUUUUGAAGUUUCUGCACUUCAAAAGCUUUUAGUUGGAUCCUGUGAUCAAGCUGGUGGCGCAGUGCGAGGCCUGCCAAUGCCAAUGCCUGCCCCUUCCUCUCAGGGCCCCCUCAAUGCUCUUUACUUGGUGUCCUGGGGGUUGUAAGCAUUUACGUUGAAAUCACAUUAGAGUGUUUGAAGCAGGAUGAUAACCGGAAUACUUCAGCUACAGAUGAUGUAAUAGGACUCCAGUUCCAUUUUCUUUGUUUUCGGAACUGGGAACACAAUUAAGAGGGACAGGUGGGGGCAUUCAUAGUGUGCUGCUAGAGGUGAUAUUGUUGGACCAUUGAAUUCUGAUCAUGAACAAUGCCAACAAGCGAACCAGCAGCAUUAUUCCCAGGACCCACCGAGCAGCUUCUGGGAAGCCAAAGCCAAAGGGGCAGAAUGGUCGCAAAGCUGCAACUGAAAGGAAAGAAUGGAAGCGCACCACCAGGAGUGGAUCCUGCUGCUUAAUUUGACUCAACCCGAGGUAACAUCACCCAGCCUGGACACAGAAAGGAUUAACAGAUUGAUAGAUCUUUCUCGAUUCUGUGGGAAAAGGUGCAUGGCCGUUCUUAGUUGGUGGAAUUACUUGUGUGGUUAAUUCUGAUAACGAAAAUGACUCCUUGUUAGGGAUAAUUCUAAUUUUUGUGCAAAUUCCCUUCAACCUUAGAGACCCACAGAUCUUUUGCUGGACUUUAGGACUUUUAUUUUUAUUCUGGAGUGAGUGAGAC
rnacentral:rRNA from 1 species